rnacentral:lncRNA from 1 species
CUUGGCAGGCAGAUUCAUGGGUGUCAUUCAGAAGUGCCUAAAUCUGCUUGUUUUGUGCACAAAGAAAGAAGAACCAAUGAACUCUGUGUUCUCUGAAAGCUGGACCACCUGGUCAGUGGUCAGUGCUGUGGUAGUUAAGUUGUCUUGUUCUUGACAUAUUAGGACACAUGAGAGAGAAGGCCUAGGAGCAGCAGCAGCAGCAGUGAUUGAUGAAGUGACAUGGAGAUGAUCACCCAGCAGUGGAAGGAGUUGUGUCUACGAUUUCAAACUGAGGGACACAUCUUCCUCAGCUGUCUGGAGCCCAUCUAUCAUCACCUGAGCCUGACACCACUGGCACCCCGUACAAGUCUUGGUGCCACCCCUGGAGGAUGUGAUGUCUGACAUACGAGCAAUGUCUUCUAUAAAUUCUCCUGGGAGGAAAGUCCCUUACCAUCCUGCCAGCAAAUGCACCUGAAUUUGCAUGGCACAAAUACAUCCCAUGGACCCCAUUGCUUGGAGCUGACUCCCACAUCACAUUCACCUGUGUGAAUCAUGGGUUCCUGUCCCUCAGGGUGAAGGUGCAGCUGGGGAAGGUGCAGGACAUCUAUCUGCACUUUCUAUUGAAAAACAUACACCUGUAUUUUUCUUCCUUGUCUAACUUCCAUUCCCAUUUUCAAAAAUGCUGUUAGUUACAGUUUAAGGGAAUAAAUGAAAUUAAAAGUUUGGAUAGAAGGGAUUG